rnacentral:lncRNA from 1 species
UUUAAUUAACAAUUUUUAUGCAAAACAAACCCAAAUUAACACUAAAUAAUACUUUUAUUUCAACAUUUUUUCACAUGAAAAAUUAUACCAGUCAAAUACAAUAAUUUACAAUUCUCAAAAAAAUAAAUUGUAAACAAUUCUUUGAAUUCGUUUUCUUUCCACUUAAAUUUCUUCUUUACAAUCAAACAGAACCUCAUAAAAAAUACUGGAAAUACAGUACCUGAAACCCUUCUGCUCGCUUUGGCUGGCCUCUUCAUCUAAAUUUGCAUUGAGAAACAAAGGAUUUUGAACUAAUAUUUCCUCAUGAUCCGAUCACCCGUCAAAAUCAUCAUUAUUACUGCAUUAUUCUUUGCAAGAUUGAUGAAAACUACAGAUUUGAAAAACGAAGUUCUGACAAAUCAUUCUUCAUUUCUCUUUGAAGAUUUUAGUUCUCAAAUUUGUAGCCAGGCUCCUAGUUAAUUGUUAUCAUUGCUUAAAAGAGAUCCUGAAAAUAGCAAUCAACUUCAUUUGAUUCACUGUAGCUUUAAGUGAUUGAUGAAUUUUUCAGAAGCGAUGCUUGAUUAUGAUGAAGAUAGAAGUCAUCCAUCGUUCCAUUUAUUCAUGUAGUGCAUGCUCUUUCACUACAGCCAGAUUGAAGUUAUCUCACCAUUUGACCUUGAAUCUUUUAAUUACUAAAUCAUCUUAAAAAUCAAAUUGAGUUCAUAGAUUUCCUUGGUUCAAUUUAUGGGCCCGAAACCCAUUGAAAUUGACAAUGAAAGAGAAAUCAUCAAAUCUUUGAACACCCCAAAAAUACUAUGAGGUGUUCAGAAAUGAUCAGAGUAGUUAAAUAAAAAAAAAAAAAAAAAAAUUUAUCAAAUGGAUAAACAUCUUACUAGAGAGAUGAAAGAUAGAAUAACAUCCUCUGUUAGAACAUGUAGUUCCCCAACGUCCAAAUGAACUAAAAGAGAACAAUGGAUAGCGAGAGGAACACGGAUAAUAUAGCUUCAAGGGAACGAGUCAAGCAGAAACAGCUAUAUAUAUUCUGCAGACCAGAUAAAGAAGCUGAGAAUUAGCAUAAAUUAACAAGAAGCCCACCAAAUUGUGCUAAAAAAGAAACACGAAAAUUCUCAGAUUUUUCAGAAACGAACAAAUUACUAGACCAGAUAAAGUGUAAACAUAUUUAGUUAGGCUUACUAGACCAGUAUCAAGUAAAAAAUCAACAAGUCUGAAGAGCCCAACUUCAAUUUACGAGCAGAACAACACCGCCCUUCCCAAUUAUNAAAAAAAAAAGGGAAGCACUACAAUAAAAUAACAAAUUUGAGUAAAAUUUAGAUCAAAUUAAUUAAGUUGAGCUUGAACCAAAAAUUAAAAAUACGAAAAAUCUUAUCAUUAUUCCUGCAUUAUUCUUUGCAAGAUUGAUGAAAACUACAGAUUUGAAAAACGAAGUUCUGACAAAUCAUUCUUCAUUUCUCUUUGAAGAUUUUAGUUCUCAAAUUUGUAGCCAGGCUCCUAGUUAAUUGUUAUCAUUGCUUAAAAGAGAUCCUGAAAAUAGCAAUCAACUUCAUUUGAUUCACUGUAGCUUUAAGUGAUUGAUGAAUUUUUCAGAAGCGAUGCUUGAUUAUGAUGAAGAUAGAAGUCAUCCAUCGUUCCAUUCAUUCAUGUAGUGCAUGCUCUUUCACUACAGCCAGAUUGAAGUUAUCUCACCAUUUGACCUUGAAUCUUUUAAUUACUAUAAUCUUCAUCUUAAAAAUCAAAUUGAGUUCAUAGAUUUCCUUGGUUCAAUUUAUGGGCCCGAAACCCAUUGAAAUUGACAAUGAAAGAGAAAUCAUCAAAUCUUUGAACACCCCAAAAAUACUAUGAGGUGUUCAGAAAUGAUCAGAGUAGUUAAAUAAACAAAAAAAAAAAAAAAAUUUUAUCAAAUGGAUAAACAUCUUACUAGAGAGAUGAAAGAUAGAAUAACAUCCUCUCUUAGAACAUGUAGUUCCCCAACGUCCAAAUGAACUAAAAGAGAACAAUGGAUAGCGAGAGGAACACGGAUAAUAUAGCUUCAAGGGAACGAGUCAAGCAGAAACAGCUAUAUACAUAUAUAUAUAUAUAUAUAUAUAUAUAUAUAUAUAUAUAUAUUCUGCAGACCAGAUAAAGAAGCUGAGAAUUAGCAUAAAUUAACAAGAAGCCCACCAAAUUGUGCUAAAAAAGAAACACGAAAAUUCUCAGAUUUUUCAGAAACGAACAAAUUACUAGACCAGAUAAAGUGUAAACAUAUUUAGUUAGGCUUACUAGACCAGUAUCAAGUAAAAAAUCAACAAGUCUGAAGAGCCCAACUUCAAUUUACGAGCAGAACAACACCGCCCUUCCCAAUUAUCUAAACAGAAGAAAGGAGGCUGCCUGAAUUUCUCCUCAAAUUCACAACACAAAGCUGCAACUAUAUUGAAAAUUUGUACUGUAAUGGGCUCAGAGAGUUGCUUUAUGUGCUCAUAAAAGAGCAAACGCUCUUCUCAUACAAGAGGUGUCAGAAUAAAGCAUUAGUCAUCUCUGCCCAAUUUAGAAGAAAAAAAAAUUUCAUUCUUUAAAUCCAAAGGGACUCAGUUUAUGGGUGGUGAUAUAUCAGGUUGGUCGGCAAGGUGUAUCAUUCGAACACCAUUACGACGAACGAGACCAAUAUCAAUUUAGUCGUCAUCGUCCCACAUUGUAAAUUGACAUUUGGACUGGAAUUAACUAAUCAGGAAGACACUAAUAAUACAAAAACCAUAGAAAAAGAGUUGAUUUUUGAAUUAGAAAAUCAAUGGGAAUCAUCAGAUAGGAGCGAAAGACUAUACAAAUUUAUAAUCACAUAAUGUAUCAUUUGAACUAUGCUUCUAAUCAUCAUUUGAUCCCAUUUUAUUCAUCAAUUUGCAGCAAAAACACCAAGGGUAUACAAAUUUCACACAAAUAUAUAAAUGUACACAUAAACCUAAAAAAAGGAUCUGUGAUUGGAAUAGCGCCUCAGAAGGAAGGCAGUAGUGUUGCUGUAAUCAAAGAUUUCUCAUGAAUGAAUAUCACUUCAAUCAUCAUUGGCAGCUCGCCAUAUCUAUCAAUCAAACUAACGAACGAAAACACCUUUUUGAAAUCGAUUUUACCUUUUUAAUGGACAAAAAUAUCUGAAAAAUCUAUCAAUCAAAUAGUUAUAACAGAUCUAGUAAUCAAACAAGGAAAACAGAAUAAGAUGGCCUCAUAGAGAAGAUUAGAUUGAUCCACAUAUUGUAAUUCAGACAUAUGCUUGUCAAAAUUAAUGUAUAAUCAUUGGCCAAUACUUGAAAAAAAUCCCAAAAAUAAAAUAAAAAUAAAAUUUCUUGACCUGCGAAUUGGCCUACCUACACACCGAGAUUCAUACAAGUGAGUGUACCUGCGAAUUGUUAAUAUCGCAAGCUCCGGAGAUCUAAUAUUAGGGUUCAUCCCGAAAAAUAAAGACGGGAUGAAUUGAGUUUUUGACGUAAAAAUGUGCGUAUUUAUAGGAAAAACUAGGGUUUUUCU